UAAUAUUAAGUAUAUUCUGCUCAAUGAACUUUAAAUAGCCGCAGAAAAUUUACUGUGCUAAGGUAGCAUAAUCAUUAGCCCUUUAAUUAAGGGCUCGUAUGAAAGAAUAAACAUUUUAUAUUCUGUAAUUUAUUAAUCUUAUCAAAUUUUGAUUAAAAAAUAAAAAUAUAAUUAUAUUAAAAAAAGACGACAAGACCCUAUUGAACUUUACUUCAGUUUAGCUGGGGCAGCUAAAAAAAAAUAAUUUUUAAUAAUAUAUUUAUAUAAAAGACCCAAUAUAAUUGAGUAUGUGAUAAGUUACCAUAGGGAUAACAGCGUAAUUUAUUUUUUAAGCUCUUAUUAUAAAAUAAGAUUGCGACCUCGAUGUUGAAUUAGUGUUCCUUUAUAGAUGCAAUAAUUUUUAAAGUAGGUCUGUUCGACCUUUAAUACAUUACA
rnacentral:rRNA from 1 species